CAGGUAGUAGUGGGUGUAGCGUACCUACUAGCCUACGACGGGUACGGGUUGUGAGAGCAAGAGCCCGGAGAUGGAUUCUGAGACACGAAUCCAGGCCCUACGGGGUGCAGCAGGCGCGAAAACUUUACAAUGCCGGCAACGGCGAUAAGGGGACCUCGAGUGCCAGGUUACAAAUCUGGCUGUCGUGAUGCCUAAAAAGCAUUGCAUAGCAAGGGCCGGGCAAGACCGGUGCCAGCCGCCGCGGUAACACCGGCGGCUCGAGUGGUAACCGUUAUUAUUGGGUCUAAAGGGUCUGUAGCCGGCCGGAUAAGUCUCUUGGGAAAUCCAGCAGCUUAACUGUUGGGCUUUCAGGAGAUACUGUCUGGCUCGAGGCCGGGAGAGGUGAGAGGUACUUCAGGGGUAGGGGUGAAAUCUUGUAAUCCUUGAAGGACCACCAGUGGCGAAGGCGUCUCACCAGAACGGACCUGACGGCAAGGGACGAAAGCUAGGGGCACGAACCGGAUUAGAUACCCGGGUAGUCCUAGCCGUAAACGAUACUCGCUAGGUGUCGGCCACGGUGCGACCGUUGUCGGUGCCGUAGGGAAGCCGUGAAGCGAGCCACCUGGGAAGUACGGCCGCAAGGCUGAAACUUAAAGGAAUUGGCGGGGGAGCACCACAACGGGUGGAGCUUGCGGUUUAAUUGGAUUCAACGCCGGAAAUCUUACCGGGACCGACAGCAAUAUGAAGGCCAGGCUGAAGACUUUGCCGGAUUAGCUGAGAGGUGGUGCAUGGCCGUCGUCAGUUCGUACUGUGAAGCAUCCUGUUAAGUCAGGCAACGAGCGAGACCCACGCCCACAGUUGCCAGCGUACUCUCCGGAGUGACGGGUACACUGUGGGGACCGCCGCUGCUAAAGCGGAGGAAGGAAUGGGCAACGGUAGGUCAGUAUGCCCCGAAUAUCCCGGGCUACACGCGAGCUACAAUGGUUGGUACAAUGGGUAUCUACCCCGAAAGGGGAUGGAAAUCUCCUAAAGCCAAUCUUAGUUCGGAUUGAGGGCUGCAACUCGCCCUCAUGAAGCUGGAAUCCGUAGUAAUCGCGUUUCAACAGAACGCGGUGAAUACGUCCCCGCUCCUUGCACACACCGCCCGUCAAACCACCCGAGUAGGGUCUGAAUGAGAGCGCUUCCUUCGGAGGCGUUCGAAUUUGGGCUUUGCAAGGGGGGUUAAGUCGUAACAAGGUA
rnacentral:rRNA from 1 species